rnacentral:rRNA from 1 species
CUUGACACUGAACAUUGAGCCUUGAUGUGUAGGAUAGGUGGGAGGCUUUGAAGCGUGGACGCCAGUCUGCGUGGAGCCAACCUUGAAAUACCACCCUUUAAUGUUUGAUGUUCUAACGUAGGCCCCUAAUCGGGGUUGCGGACAGUGUCUGGUGGGUAGUUUGACUGGGGCGGUCUCCUCCCAAAGAGUAACGGAGGAGCACGAAGGUUAGCUAAUCCUGGUCGGACAUCAGGAGGUUAGUGCAAUGGCAUAAGC